rnacentral:rRNA from 1 species
GGCUUAAUUUGACUCAACACGGGGAAACUCACCAGGUCCAGACAUAACUAGGAUUGACAGAUUGAUAGCUCUUUCAUGAUUUUAUGGGUGGUGGUGCAUGGCCGUUCUUAGUUGGUGGAGUGAUUUGUCUGGUUAAUUCCGAUAACGAACGAGACCUUAACCUGCUAAAUAGCCAGGUCGGCUUUUGCUGAUCGCCGGCUUCUUAGAGGGACUGUCAGUGUCUAACUGACGGAAGUUUGAGGCAAUAACAGGUCUGUGAUGCCCUUAAAUGUUCUGGGCCGCACGCGCGCUACACUGACAGAGCCAGCGAGUUUUUUUCCUUGGCCGGAAGGUCUGGGUAAUCUUGUGAAACUCUGUCGUGCUGGGGAUARAGCAUUGCAAUUAUUGCUCUUCAACGAGGAAUACCUAGUAAGCGUGAGUCAUCAGCUCGCGUUGAUUACGUCCCUGCCCUUUGUACACACCGCCCGUCGCUACUACCGAUUGAAUGGCUUAGUGAGGUCUCCGGAUUGGCUUUUGGGAGCCGGCAACGGCACUUGAUUGCUGAGAAGGUGAUCAAACUUGGUCAUUUAGA